UCUGCCAUCUUCUUCAUUAUAACUAUUCAUGACACAUUUUGUCGCACAUCACCCAAAUAGUUGAAAAUUAUUUUGUUUACCGCACAUAACUACAUCCAGCCAUAUGAGUGAGUCAACACAAAAAUCUUAAAUGAGGGCUUUGUGACGACAUUUACAGAAUAUAUCCAUGUUCUUUCAAUCACAGAAGCCAGUUAUUUCUAAUCAAUCUUCACCUGAAUUAUGCUUGCUUAAUAGCUGAAGACUCGAUAGUUGGAUGCACAAUAACACAAAUAUGAAAAGCAGCCACUAAGAUUGGAAAUACAGAGAACAUGAAUAGGUCUGGAAGUGUAAAGAUGAAAAAUUACACAUUUAUGGGUAAAAAUGUCCUUACCAAGAUGCGCAAGCCGAUUAACCCAUCCAGGAAUUGGUCUCCCUGUCAAUCUCAAGCAAAUAUCAUCUGUAAAGUGAUUGCAGUUUUUGGAGAUGACUUGAUAAGUAUCACCAUGGAAAUCUUCAGCAAUAUCUUCCAUGAAUGCCCGAAAUUCCGAGGAACUCAUGUUUACAUGACCCAGUGGAAUUGAGCAUCUGUAGACAAAACCUGGGCAGCGCCUUGGUUCCACCUCAAACACUCCACUUGUUGGGUAAUCAUGGGCUCCAAACCCAUACUCCGAACCAUGUACUGUUCACAUUUAUCAAUAUUACAAACAUAUAUAACCCUCAUAAACAAUAUGAAACCAUCGGCAUAAUCACUACCAUCACCAUCAACUAAAAUAACUUGUUUUUCAAUGAUAUGACUCUACAGGACUCAAAGGGAGAUGUGUUUAUAAAAUGUGAAAUGUUGAAGCGCAGACUAUUCACAAACAGUUGGAAGGUCCACCCAAUGAACUUAAAUAGUUAAAUGUUAGGUCACACUGGCCAAAAAAAAGCACGAAAAAAAAAAUCUCAGCCUUUCUUAUGGCACUAACUGAUAACAAGAGAAACCACUACAAUCAAAAUCCACGGGAAUAAGGUCAGCCUGUGCAUGCAUCAAUCGUGCAACACUUGCAGCUGCCCACCAACAAUCCUUACAUCAAAAUUGAAGCAAGCACUACACAGCUGUUUGUUUAAACAAAGGAACUGCCAGGCUAGGCUACGAAGACUGGUUUUCACUAUAAACCCUGCAGUUGGAUCACUGAGGAACCCAGGGAGAAGCCAUCGAAUAUAAACUAGAUACAUACAUACAGAUGUAUCUUGUUAUUUCUGAUCGAUCAUAUGGUCUAAAGUGAUUCCUUGAAUUUGCAGGUAAGCUGAAAUUGGAUCCAAAACUUCCUGUUUUCAACAAUAACAGAUAGGCUCCUUAUCAAGAUUCAGAAACAAGCUACAUCUGUCAAUACAAAGCAAUGCAAAGAAUUUCUUGUGAAUGUUAGUGUAUCACGGAUUGAUCUUAGGUGCAAGGGCUGCCGGAUAUCUUUUCCUUCAGUCCAGGAUCAUAGUGUUGUAGGAAAGUUUUCAGCAAUUUGAAAGGACAUCUUUGUCGAUAUUAUUGACAUAACCUAAACAGUAUAAAGGACAACAGUCAAUCACAAAUAUAUGUUAUUCUUUUUCAACCUUGAACAAAUAAAGAAGAAUUCUGCAAUGGACCCUUUUAGAUAUUUAAUUAAUUCAUAUAAUGCAAGGAUCAAUCAUUCACUCAUUUUAUCUCUUCUCUCCCAUUUUGCACUUUUUUCUUUUAACCCAAAAAAAAGACACACCCAUGAUCAGCUACUAACCUAAUUUCAACUCUCUAAAUAUCGGCGCUGCAAGUUCAGCUAAGUUUAGACACAAGAGGAAUCAAACCUGUGAGGCCAGUUGGCAGGUAGAGAAAUCCAUCUUAUUGGCAAUGGUAAGUUAUACAACCAAAGAACAAUAUUCCAAAAUUCCACUAGACAUAGAGAUGGACUGAAUGGAGGAGGAAGAUAAUAAUUUCUGGUAUACAAAGCUGAAUUCAGCUCUAUCUCAUUAUAGAACAUGGAUCCCCAGAAGAAUGACAAAGGCCAUUGCAAAAUCACCAGAAAUGAUCCACUUUCAAACGACCUAUUCUAACUAAUUUUGGAAUUAGGGCAACUACAAGUAAUGUCAAACCUGUUAUACAUCGUUAAUCAAUUCCCUAACAGCUCAACCUUUUGCCUUCAACUUGUUAAUUAACAUGUUUAAUCCUGACUAAAGCUCCGUCUCCCAACCUUGACACUCAAACUAUAUCCAGAUCUAACUUCACAUCAGUAUAAUACUUCUAGCACAAUAAUUUGAGGAAAACCACUAAAUCAGCCUGUGAAUCAUAAAAAUAAUCGAUCCGUAUCACCCUUUUUAUCAAUAUAACCACCAAAACACAAAUUAGACAUUUUUUUGCAGGGAGAAAUUAAAAAGAAACAUGCAAUAUAUAGCUUUUUUAUAAAAAAAGGAACAUCAAAUUUUCAGGUUCUCGUGAACAGAGAUUCCACGGAUUUCACCAAAAAGUGCCAGAACACAUAAUUGGAAGCAAAAAUAUCGACACAUUUGCUCUAAGGAAACGAACAUUCGUACUAAUUCAUUCAAUUUAUCUUCAAAAACAGUAUGUUUUACCUUCGAUUCCCGAAUGAAAGAUUCCAAUACCAAACCAAAACAUGUAAUCGUUCAACGGAGUGAGAUCAUAAACGUUCAGGAUCACGGGACUCCCAACGCUACUCCCAUCCGAGGUAGAGGAGCUCGAAGAAUGCGCGGAACCCAUAAACCCUUGAGAGAACUCGGGAGCCCUCGAUUGGAAGGCUAGGGCUCCUCUAGGGUUUAGACCGCCGGUCGCAGGGAAGGAGCUGAUUGGGGAGGACAACAACCUCAAAAAUGGGGGCCGCGGGUGCACGAUACUUAAGGUGGGUAGGGGACGGGACCCCGACAGGACAGUCCUCGUCUGACGUGUAUAAGCUUGAGUAAGAUUAGACACCACCUAGUGGACAACAAUGAUAUGGGGCGGACACUAAUCACACCAUAGGCCAUCACAGGCUUAACUCAACGACGCAGUUUCUUUUUUAACAUCUUAAAAAAAAUAAAAAUUAAAUAAAAAUAAUAUUUUUUUAUUAAUAAAAUUUAUUAAUUUUAUAAUUAAAAUAAUAAAAAAAUAAAAUAUACAUCUAAAAAAUUUUUCAUUACUGUUUAUAUUCUCUUUAUUUCUUAUUAAGCCUCUCAAUUCAUUAUCUUUCUUAUCAAGUCAUGUCUCUCAUUCGUAAGAUGUUCCUUUUAUUUUUUUUUUUUUCAAAUCCCACGCAUUAUUUCUUCUAUCCAUGAGUCCUUCCUCAAGUUUCUUUCUUCUCUUUCUAAAUUUUUUUUUUUUUAAAUCUCUACAUCUAAAAGUUCAUGAAAACUGUGUAUCAUUUUAUUGAAAGAUGUGUAUUGAGAUGUUAGAUAAAUAUUUUACUAGAUGCGUAUCAACAGAGUAUAUACUAUGUAUUGAUGAAUAUUAAGUUCAAUAAAUUAUGUAUCAAUUUAUUUAUAGGUGUGUAUUAGAUCGUUGUCAGUGUGUGUAUCAAAAAAAUUUAUAGUAUGUAUCAGUAAACCAUCUAAUGUGUAUCAUUUUGUUAUGUGUUGUAUACUAAUAAGUACUAUAUUCUAAAAAUUAUAUAUUACUUUACUUACAUAUAUAUAUUGAAAUAUCGAAUGAAUAUUUUGCUAGAUAUGUAUCAACAGAUUAUAUAAUGUGUACUGAUUAAUACUAAGUUUAGUAAACUAUGUAUCAAUUUAGCUAUAAAUAUGUAUUAGACCAUUGCUGAGUGUAUAUAAAAAAAACUUACAAUAUAUGUCACCUGAUUAUAAACUAUAUAUUAGUGAUCUCCUCAUUCUGAAAAUUAUAUAUCAAUUUAUUUAUUGAUAUAUAUUGAUUUGUUUGAUGAUUAAUUUAUUCAGUGUGUAUCAUAUGGUCAUAUAGCACAUAUCGCUUAAAAAAUGUAUUGAAAAUGAGAAAGAAAAAGAAUGUCAUUUUUUUAAUCAUAAGAUUAAUAACUCUAUUAGCAAAAAAAUAUUUUUGAUUUUUAAAUUUAUUUCUUAAAAUUAAUAAUUAAAAAAAUAUGAUAAAUUAUAAAAUCCAUCCCACAUGAUAUUUUAAAAUAUUUGCCCCAUAUAAUUUUUAUUUCUACUCGUGACUCGUCAAUUAUUGAUUAGAUUUAUUUUAGUGCAUGGAUUUUGAAUUAUCCAAUAUAAAAUUAUCGUGCUGCUCGUCAUUCAAAAUUUCAAAGCAUGAUUGAAAAAUUUACAUGAAAAUUUAUAACUAUACAAAAAAAAAGUUUAUAACUAAUCAUUACAAGCUAUUUUGAAUUUAACAUUAACUAUUUUUUUUUAAAUAAUAUAAUAUUUUUUUUGAUUGUUCAAAAUCUACGUAAUAGAACAAUUUUAGCCAAUAACUUUUUCAAAUCCGCAUCCUAAAUAGCAGAUAUUGGUUUGAUCUGUCCACAAUAAUUAAAAAUAAUUUUUAUAAAUAACAGAUUUUAUUUAUAAAAAGGAUCAGCUACUUAUGCUGGCUGGCCAUGACAAAAAAAGAGUUUUUUCUUGAGCAUGAGGUGAUUCAAAGAUGAAUAUGAAUGUUGAGACGCAUGCUCAUUGCUCAACAAAUAAUAGUAGUUAUUCAGCCCAUUUGUUUAGCGGUGACCCCUAGCCAAAUUUCUUGUCAUAGAAUUGCACCAAGCGAGUUGGGUUGGUGAACCAGCAAAGUGAAGCCCAAGCCCAACUCAUCUUUAAUAGUAGCAGCAGUAAUUGGGUUGAGCCAAACCAACAAAACAAUCUACCAAUCCGAGUAUGAUCUAUUUAUUAAAUAGAUCAAAAUGUUAGAUCCAACUUUAUCAUUUUAUUAUAUAAAUAAUCCAAACUAACCCACAAUUAAUUGAAUGAUGUUAAAUGAUUUAAACAGAUUAAGUAUAGCCAUAUCUAUUAUUGUUCGGAGAUCCCAACAUGAAAAUGAUGUCCUUGGUCUUGCUGUUCUUCCAUCGCAACUAGGGCUAAGUAAAUAACUGAAAUUCAAAAAAAUUCAUCUAAUUCAAUCCAAUAAACAUCAAUUUCGAUCAGUUGAAAGAUAUAAAUCGAAUGGAAUCAGAUUAAGAUCGAUAAAAAAUCAAUUAUUUAUGGUCGAAUUUGAUUCAUAUACUUCUAAACUGUAUGAAAUCAAAUCCAACUGAUGUAGUAUUUCAUAAAUUCGCUUUCAUUUCGGGACAACGUUAUUUAGAUUUCAAUACUUCAUUCUAAAAAACACCGCAUCACCUAUUUAGAUUUAUGAGAAUAUUAAUACUGAAUUGUUGAUGAAAGCACAUCAAUUUGAGACAAUUCUAAAAUAAAAGCUUUCAGAUGUAGUUGUUUUCAGAUGAGUAAAUAUUUAUUUUUUUAUUUUAUUUUAUUUGUAUAAGUUUCAAAAUAAAUUCAAAAUUUGUACUUCUAAGAUUUAGAUCUUUUUAGUAUUAAAUUGAUAAAAAAAAAUUAAAUGAGCUAAUAUGGGAUUUAAAAUCAAUAUUGUAUUCAUAUUGAAGUCCAAAUCGAUACAACUCAUCUGAAUCUACUAUAAAUCGUUCACUUUGAUUUCAAAUGAUUUAUAUAUAAUAAACAAUCGAUAAUGGAUUAAAUUUUUUUUAACCUGAUUGAGUUUGGUCGGAUAAAAUUUUUUUCUCAAUCCGAUGAAAUUCGAUCUAUAGCCUUCACUGCAACUAUAAUGGAAAGGCUAUCUUUUAUCAAAAAAUUGUGCCAUUUAGAGGUGUUUAAAUUGGGAAUUUGGAGCUACCCUUAUCAAAGAAAAGAUUUUUUAAAAAAAAAAAGAAGGAUUGGAAAUUACCCGAGGGUUGACUGGUUGGGCGGGAUUUGAUACUUUAUCUCGAUAAUAUUUAAACCAAGCUGUCACAUAGCUAUGAAUAUAUACAUAUAUUUACGCGUUCAGAAAUCUAGGUGCGGUAUAUAGUCGUCGGCAGAAACAAAUGUGCCUCCGUCAACUUUCAACGGCGUUGGGCUCGCAUGCUUCCAAAUCGUUAUUCAGGUCGGGUCAGAAAUGUCAAGCUCAAAGUCACUCAAUCCAACGGCCAUCUGCAUCAACUCAAGCAAAACAUGGGCCCAGGACAGUUUGGCGGGCCCCACCACCAUAUGGCUAAUCUAGAAGGUAGAAAACCCGGGAGCUCGUUAACUAUGGGCGCGGCCAUCUGGUGGAAAAUAAGUGCUCCACUUGUUCUAGAAAGCAUGAUCCCCGCCUCCCAACGCAGCCAGGUUUCCCUUUAUCAUCUCAAUGCCCUGCCCCUGGGGUCCUUUUUCCACCUCAAUAACGACACCGCCCCUCCCUGGAAGCCCGAUGUUUCUCGGAAGAGCUGAGAACUUGAAUCAAGUCCCUCCGUGGGCGGGAGUGGAGACGCACAUGCGCGCAGACACGGGCGCAGACUGACAAAAUAAAAUUAUCGGCCACCGCUCCUACUCCUUCCAUCGAUAAAAUAAUGGCUGUUAUAACUUUCAUUAUUAUUUUUUUAAUAAUGGAUGGCCCGAAGGCUAUGCCAUUGCAUAUAAAGUAAGUUUACAAACCACAUUCUCCAUGGGAGGGGACAAAGAGAAACAAAAAAAAAUUAAACAAAAGCUUAUAUGUUUGUAGCCCAUUUCAGACCCAUAUCCAAGUAUUCAGAUAAAAUAACAUAAAUAUUCAGAUGAAAUACCGUAAACCUCAAAAGAAAAAAAAAAAAAAAAAAAAAAACUAAAAUUAUAUAUAUAUAUAUAUAUAUAUAUAUAUAUAUAUAUAUAUAUAUAUAUAUAUAAUAUAUAUAUNNNNNNNNNNNNNNNNNNNNUAUGUAUAUAUAAAUGAUAUGUGAAAUAGUGCUAUAAGCUGAAGCAGUUAGAUAUAAUUGAGCUGAAUCACAAAUAAAUAGCCAAAAAAUUAUUUAGGAAAAAGAUAGAACCACAUGAUGGAUGCUUAGACAAAUCAGUUGAAGUGAAAAGCAUCAAAAUUUAUCAAAAUAUUGGACAAAUAGAAAAAAAAUUUUGAGAUAGCCAAAAUUUGCAUGUAAGUAUUAAACACUUUGUAAAGAGAAUGAAAUAGCACCGUCACUCUUGUGAAGAGUGCAAAAUAUAAUAGUGUGGCUUUUCGCUUUCUAAAAACUCACCUGCACCUGUAUGAGCAGCAAUACACCAACGUAGAAUUUUAGCUAAUAAAAUAUAUAUAGUUGUCGGUGCAUAACUGCUCCAUGACAAUAUAGAAGAUAAAACCUCCAGAUAGUUGAUGAAUACAAUAAAGUUGAAUAGUUGAAGAAAUUCGUAUAUGAUGGCUAUAUAUUUGACUAGUAUCAUAUCCUUGCAAUUGCAUAUAUCGUAGUUCAAUAAAAUAAAAUAUGAAAUCUACAGUGAGGCAAUAUAAGAAGAGGUAUGAACAGCAACUAUCCCCCGUAGAUAGUAUCAAAAGAUCAAUAUGCCCUCCAGUUGAUCCAGAAAAGAAGAAAAUGAUGCCGCAUGCAAGCAAGUUAUAGUAGCCCUACAUUGUUGAGUCCAAGAUGAAAAUGAUAAUCUUUUGGCAGGAAUAAAUAAAGUAAAGACGUUCCAUUGAAAGGAGCAGACAUUAAAUAUUAAAGAAUUGAAAAAGUAUAUAACAAACAGGAACCGAUACACAACUGUAGAACAUAACCGUGGCAUAUCAGACCGCAGUGACAAUUGUAACAGAAGGAAAACGCUUGAAAAGGUUAAGUAGAUAAAUCCCUGCAUAAAGAAGAAAAGAACAGGUUAGAGUAAUCAAUUUUCUUUUCCUGUUGUUUUCUUCCAUUUUUGUUUCUUUUUUUUAUUUUCCAUUCUCUCCGUGAAUGUGAAACUUUUGGUGCUUUUUUUUAUUUUUUGUUUUUUCCAUGAACUAUUUUUUUUCAGAUUUGUUUGAAUCCACUCAUGAACUUGUUGAUGGCCACUUUGACAAUUCAUAACCGUUGCAUCCAUAUACGACCCAGUAAAACGAACUCAAUAAAGAUCUCAAAAGAGAUCAACUUAUGUAGGAUAAAAAACCGUCAAGUGACGUAUGUAUGUUGAUCAUACAGGUGUUGCUGUAAACUCCAUAUAGAAAGUCUCAGCAAAUGGAUGCAGAAUUGUUGUAAAACAGUUGAAAUAUUUAAGAAGAUGAAAUCCUUGCAAAAACAAAAAAAAAAAAAAAAAAAGAAAAAAAGGAAAAAAAAAAGAGAGAGUAAGAAUAAUCAAUUCUUUUCUCCUGUUGUUUGCUUCUUCUUCUUUUUUAUUUUUUAUUUUUCUUUUUAUUUAUCAUCUUCUCCAUGAAUUUCAAAUUUUUUAUUUUAUUUAUUUAUUUAUUUAUUUUUUUCAUUGAAGUACGCUUUUUUCAGAUUUCCUCGAAACCACUCUUGAGCUUGGGCACUCAGACAAUUCCAUUAAUUAGUACCAUCAAUGAUAGGUUAAUAAAAAUAACAAAUCUACCACCUUCCAGCUUAAUGAUAAGUGGGCAUAGCAUUCUUCAUAAUCUCCAGGUCAGCUAAUUUUCCAACCCAGACUAAGCAAUGGACCCCACCUCGAGAUAGAUAAAAACAAAUUCCUUUUUUGAGGAAAAAAAUAAUUCAUAAUUCACAAAAUACCAAUGCGUGCCUUGCUGGCAUCUCCAGACGUUACCAGAGAGCGCCGUUUUGGUAAAUCUCCAUAAAACUCAGUCCAUUUAAUCCACAUCAACCAGUCUUUUUCAAAACCGCUCUCCCUCUGUACCCUCUCGCUCCUGUUUUCUUCUUUCCCUUCCUCCUCUCCUUCCAAUCAUUCCGCGGCACAUGCGAAACCGGAGCGCAGGAAUUCGCAAUCCGCCACCCGUUUCUUUCCCACGUACGAAUUCCUCCUCCUUUCUAUAUUUCCCCAGAACCCUCUUCCGUUAAAUCCCCAAAGCCUUCUUAUCUUUGUACCUAAAAAAAAGGUUCUUCUUAUCUUCCACUCACCGCGGCCUUUAUGUGAUGGAAUCGUCUCCUUCUUUUGCCACGCUCGCUCAGGAGGCGCUUGUGGAUUCCGAUUUCGAUUCGCCGAACUCUAGGCGGCUCUUCGAUUUCCAGAAUUCUCUCACCUGCAUUAAGGUCACCCCGCCAUUCCGAGACUAUCCCAAGCUCAGAUCUCCCAGUAGGAUGGGGCUCGAGCCGAAACCUGAUUUCAAGAUCGUGGAAGGCGAUUACGGUUAUAUUCUUGAAGAUGUUCCCCACCUUACCGAUUAUCUCCCCGAUCUGCCUGUGAGUGUCCUUUAGAUUUCCGUCUUCUAAUCUUGCUUCUGAGCUGAGAUGAGAAGUCGGUGUUUUGUAUCUUGCUUGAUUGCUCGAGGUCAUUUUGGUUUCUUCUUUUAUGGCUUUUCUUGAUGUCAAGUUAGGGUUUUGUUGUGGUAACUUACUUUUGAUGAGGACAUAGAUAUUUGAGCAGGUCUAUGAAUAUAAUGGUUUCUUGGGCUAGAAAAGAUUGGGUGUUUGUCAGUUUAAGCUGUAAAUCAGUUGUAAAAAUUGGAAAUGGUCCUCUAGGGUCGAUCUUGAUUCGUUAUAAGUUAGUUUGAUUGAUUAAUUCUGUCAUGAUGAAGAGUUGAGGAAGACCACAAGUUCUCAGGUGGUAGAGGUGCACAGAGCUUGUAAUUUUGCCAUAAAAUACCGUGCAGAGGAGCUAUUGUUCUUAAAGAUAAUACUUCGAUUUUUUUUUUUUAAAAAUUUCUUCUAGUGGUAUUGAUAACUCUUUUCCAUGUGACGCCUUAGAAUCUAGUCCAUCAGGUUAGGUUAAGCGGUAAAUUGGUUGAAAAAUUGGAAGUGGUUCUCUAGGAGUCGAUCUUGAUUCGUUAUGAGUUAGUUUGAUUGAUUAAUUCUCUCAUGAUGAAGAUCACAAGCUCUCUGGCGGUAGAUUGUGUGGAAUUUUGCCUAGUAUUGCGUAGAAUAUUGUGCAGAGCAGCUAUUGCUGUCAAAGAUAGUUCUUUGAAUUUUUUUAUUUUUUUUAAAAUUUUUAUUUACCUAAUGGUAUUGAUAACUGUUUUCCAUAUGACGCCUUAGAAUCUAGUUCAUCAGGUUAGCUUUUCCCAUAUCACAGCUUCUGGGUUAGUUCCCGCUUGGCGUAGGUAGUCAUUUUACAGGCAAGAUGGUGAAUUUUAUGUCACGGGACGUGUUACUUUAUGACCGAAUAACCAAAGACGAUUGCUAAAUCUAGCAGGCCAUGAAAGUACCAAAGAAGGCCGGAACUGGGUGGUGGUAUCUCAAGUGAUCUAUCAUGGAUAUCAGAGGAUAUACAAGUAAUACGUAUUGGAUCUUUAAUAUAGGUCCAUGCUAAGGCACUGUGAACAAACAUAUCACAUGAUCUGUCCGGCAGGUACCCAGAACAAGGGGGCGUGUGUUGGUUGCAAGUACUGGGAAGGUUUUUGACAACCUAAAUGCAGUUUAGACACAUUGAAUACACAUCGUGGAAAAUAGGAGUGGAGAAAGGUAUGGAUUUGGGCAUUUAAUCACCUUAGUCCUUUUAGAUUAAGAAAGAAGAAAAAAGGAGAAUUGUGGCAAUUGCCCGUCCAUGUAAUAAACCAGAAUGUCCACCUAUUAUAAUGAAAUGCACCUGUCAUGAUUAAUUGCUUCAGAAGAUACAGAAUAACUCCCUAUAGAAUCCCUUCUAGUUGGACUUGGGUUUCAUAUCAGGUUUAUGAAGUUGAUGUCUUUCUUUCUCAUAAACUAAUUCUAGUUCCUCUGGUGACUUACUUGAAUAUGAUCAGAAAGUAACUUUUCAAUAGUAAUAAUUGGUUCAGAUAAUUCCUUUGCCUUAUAUGUUAGUUAACUGUUUUGCCAAAUUAGUUAGAGGCUUUCGUGUAGACUCAGAAAGAGGCUAACUUUGUCCAUGUUAGUGUACCUAACCAGUAUCACUAGCAUGCUCAUGGCAUGAAAUGUGACUCCUUUUUUUAUUUCUUUCUUGAAGUUACUCAUUGGAGUAUAAUUCAAGCGGGGGCAUUUAAUAUCUCUGUUUGUUGGCUUUGAUCUGUAUCCUGAAAAUAAUUUUGCAAAUUGUUCACUAAUUUUUGUGGCAGAACUUUCCAAAUCCGCUACAAGACAAUCCAUCUUAUUCAGCUGUCAAGUAUGCUCAUCUGUCCUAUCUUUUAUUGUAGAAUCUUCUUCUUGUAAUAUGUUGUCAGCUGCUGAUCACAUUUGCUUCCACAUAUUCGUCAAUAAUAACUGGGAAUUAUUUUCUAUUGUCAGGCAGUAUUUUGUUAAUGCGGAUGAUACUGUUCCUCAAAAGGUAAAUCCUUUGUGCCUCCUAUAUUAGUUAAUUUGACAUGAUAGUUCAUCUUAUUUUGCUUGUUUAAGUUGUGAUGAUAGACAAGGUGUUAUGGAAGUUUGUUGUUUGCAUAUAUAAACACUAUAAUAUCGAACCGGUAUUAGCAUGAUUGGGGUUCUAUAGUUAAUGUAUUUUAUUUUGUCAUCUGUUGUCUUGUAGAUUGUGGUUCAGAAAAAUAACCCAAGAGGGGUCCAUUUUCGACGUGCUGGGCCACGCCAGAGAGUAGGUUUCAGUGCAUGUUUUUCUGCAGUGAUUAAUGGUGAAAUGCCAACCAAUACUUGCUGAUGGGAAUUUUUUAAUUUUCCUCAGGUGUACUUUGAGUCAGAUGAUGUGCUUGCAUGCAUUGUAACUUGUGGAGGCCUUUGCCCUGGACUUAACACGGUAAUCAGGGAGUUGGUAUGUGGUUUGUCUGAUAUGUAUGGUGUCAGCAGAAUCCUUGGGAUAGAGGUGAGGAUAUAACUAGUGAGUUUUGUCUCAAAUGCCUUUACCUCUUAUCUAAUCUAUAAUAUUAGUUUGAACCCUUUUUUUUUUUGUCUUGAAUCUAUUUGCAUAUGUUUUCUAGUUGCUUAUAGUUUUCAUUGGUGCUCCUCAGGAACUUCUAGCAAGCAUAAUCAAUUAUAUUAUCUUGGUUGAUUAUACAGGCAGUCUGCCUGGGUGCUUGAAAUUAUUUAGUUGCCUAUGUCUGCAUAGACAAUUCUAAGGUGUUUGUCUAUAUUUCUGGGAAUCUGAUCUUGCCCACCUAGGCACCAUGUAGGGUUUCCUCAACUGCCUUGAUGUAUCAUCAUAAAUUGUCUAAUUAAUAAGACUGAUAAAUGUACAAAUGAAUCUAUUUGCAUAUGUUUUCUAGUUGCUCAUAGUUUUCAUUGGUGCUCCCCAGGAACUUCUAUCAAGUAUAAUCACCUAUAUUAUCUUGGUUGAUUAUACAGGCAGUCUGCCUUGGUGCUUGAAAUUAUUUAGUUGCCUAUGUCUGCCUAGACAAUUCUAAGGUGUUUCUCUAUAUUUCUGGGAAUCUGAUUAGUCAUUUUCUUGCCCACUUAGGCACCACGUAGGCUUUACUCAACUGCCUAGAUGUAUCAUCAUAAAUUGUCUAAUUACCUAGACUGAUAAAUGUACAAAUGAAUGGGACAGUAUAACAAUUAAUUAUGUAAAAAGUUACAUCUAAAAUAAUUUAUCAAUUAUCAUUAAAUUAUAUACUAUAAUUAUUUCGAGUUUGAUGGGAUGUUCACACAUCUGGACUCUUAAGGAAUAUGUUUGUUGGGUGGAGUUUUAGCUGUGGCAUUUAAGUCAUCUAUGGCAAUCUCCAUGGUAGGUCUUAUAUUACAUAUUUUAGGAUAGGAAGCACCAUACGUAAUGAUGAUUCAUCUAUAUGAUGUAAUUCUAGAUUUGUUGGUUACCAAAUCCAUCAUCUGGGUCAUUAACCUUUACAUAUGCAUGUCACAUAGCAAAAUUGCCCUAGAAAGAUAACAACUCUAAUAUUUGGUCUAGAACCUCGAAAGGUGUGCAGUUUAUUUGAAGGUUGAGUAAGGCAAAUUAAGUCAGACUGCUUUGAUGUUUCAAACCUUUUGGCUUUUGUAUAUAAAUUUGAUAUUUUCAUUGUGGCUGAUUUUAGUGAUACCUCUAUGCUUUUCUAAAAUGUGACAUGAUCAUAUGAUGUGCCACACCUAAGUAUAGGGAUCAAUGAGCUCUCUAUUUUAGGCAUUCUGCAGGAGGAUUCCUGAUCUGCCUCAAAUAAAUCUCUACUUGUAGAGUAGAUGGUGCCACUCACUGCCAUGAGGGACAUCAGUUGAAUUGGUUUGCCUGAAUUUAACACAUGGUUCAUUAUAAUUAAUUUUCUCCAUCCAAACAUAUUAUAUAGAAGACAGGCAAUUGUUGUUUGUAGCAAGGGUAGAUGACUUCCCCUUUUUUUUUUUGGGAGUUAUGCAUAUACACCCUAAGAAAUGUAGUCAAAAAGUAUUGGUCCAUACGAACCCCUAAAAAUUCACUUUGCGUAAGAACACAGAAAACUAUUUAACUCGUGCACUGGUCGGUUUGCAAUUCACUGUUAUGCAAACCUAACUAGCACUGGUUUAGGAGUUAAUCAGCGAGAUAACCUAUCUGUCUUGUGUUCCAAUCCUUACUAACCUAACUGAAGUGCAUAGGUGCCUUUCUUUUUCCUCAUCUAGUGCCUUCACUGGGCAUACUUUCUGGCUCCUACUUUUGCUGGCUACUUGGAAGCAUCUUCUUACCUAAGGAUUUCUUUGACGGUUAAGAUGGUCAUGUCAGUUGUUGCCACUGGAGAUCAUUGUUUAUCAGAAAGCAUUCCUUCUGGGCAUUAUUACUCAACCCUGGCUGCACUAACACAUGUAAUAGAUGUAUGGAUAUGCAAGAACAUACUAAAGUGAGGGGCAUUUAUGUAAAUAUCACUUUUUUUGGAGAAAAAUUGCAAUGUGCAUGACUUCUCGAGGGACGUUUGGACUCGUAGCCAACAUAUAGCUAUUUGACUAUUCCAUCAAGUAGGUCACUGUCUAGGACCAUUAUCAUAAUGGAAUGUUUCUUAUGAGCUCUGAAUUGUUGAACUUAAAUAGGUAAUUACUUAUACCAACUAAAUCUCUCAAUGCUGUUGCAUUUUGAUAUCAUAUUAUAUCUAUUUAGUGAUUACAU
rnacentral:lncRNA from 1 species